AUGAAACUCUCUUCUCUGCCUAACUUCACUUCAUUACACCUAUCUCUCUCUCACUUUCUCUACAUGCCAAUAAAGAAAAUUGCCACGGUCAGUUCUCUCUCCCUCUCUCAACGACUUUGCUGCCAUCACCAUGGCCAAACCAAUUGGAUCUUCCUUCUUCUCAUCUUCACCCAGGCAAUUGCUAUUACUUCUAUUCUCAACUUCCUAUUAAUCCUUCGAUCGUUUUGUCUCCGCCGCAAUCGUCUCUGAUCGACGUCGCGCUGAUCGCUCUUUCCCUUGCACUCGCCGCAACGAUUUCCUCUCAGAUGUGUUUAAUCCGUUUUCUCCAACUAGAAGUUUAAGCCAGUGCUUAACAUGGUGAAUCAAUUAAUGGACAAUCCAGUCCUUUCUGCUUCACGUGGAAUUGGAGACGGUGGAGCUUGACGUGGUUGGGAUGCGAAAGAGACAGAGGAUUCUAUGCUCCUUCGUUUGGAUAUGACUGGACUUGGUAUGGAAGAUGUGAAGAUCUCUGUUGAACGGAAUACCCUUUACCAUUAAAGGUGGAAGGUCACAUGAUUGGACUAAUUCCUUUCAUCGUUUUUGGUUGAAGGUUGCCAUGCUCUGGUGUGUGUGUUCAGAUUAAAUUGGCGCAGAAAUACUGGACCACACAUAAGCUAACAGUGUUGGGUAAAGUGGCUGGAACACCAUAAAUGGCGAAUAUGAAUUUGGUCAGACAAGGAGGAAGAGGAAGAUGAGGAGACUUCCCAGCCACCAGCAAAGAAGAGUACAUUGUAUAUAACAGUGAGCCAACAACACCUAAUUAUUUUUUCCUUUUCUUCUUCUCUCUGUCUCUUCUUCCUCGUAAUCUUCACCAUCUUAAUCAUUAAGUUCAUAUAAACCUAGGAAAGUUUGAACAAACAAACCCAUAAAAAACAAGAACAAGAAAUUAUUAAAACUCAAAUUCAUUUCUUCCUCCAUUACAACUUGUACCAACAUUUUCAUUUCAAUUUGUAUGUCCAAUUGGAAGUGGGGGUGCGGACUACAGUGUUGUUGUGUUGGAGAUGGAUUGAAUGUUCAAACAUUUCCAUUUCAAUUUGUAUGCACAAAUCCCACGUUGACAUUGUGCGUGCGUGAGUGAGGAUAGACAAUAAGUUCACGAAACUACCAAAGAGAUAAAUUCAACCAAAAUCCCAAAGGGAUAAAUUCAACCAAAAUGUUUGAUUGACACUAAUUUUCCUUGUGGUUGAACGUGUCCAUAAAGGAUCCUUUGUUUAUUCAAUUCAGAAUUGCUCACAUUCCUUCUCUUCUUGCGUCGAUUCUUCUUUCAAUUUGAAUCUGAUGUGUUGAUAUGAAUGAAAUCUAUUAGGGGAAAAGGGUAGAAAAGAGAAAAAACAUUAAAAUGGUGAUUAUUUUUUCUAAGUUGUUGUUUUUUAUGGGUUGGUAUGAUGAUUAUGUUGAAGAUUAUGAAGGAAGAAAUUGAAGAAGAUAGCAUCGAAAACUGGAGAAAUCACUAUUUUAUUUUAAGAAAAAAAUUUGUUUUUAGUUUUAUGAUUUCUCCAUUUUUGAUUUUUUGAUUUUUUUUUUUUUUUGGAUUAUUUGCUUGCUAAUUUGUUCCCUCUAUAUUAUGUGUUGUGCUAAAUUUUUUAUGGGUUCUUAGAAUUUAGGAAUAAAGAUCAAGAAAUAGAGGUUUUUUUUAAGUAAUUAGUUUGAUGAUUUAAAGUUUUAUUUUUUAUCCAUUUUUUGGAGAAAAAAAAUUCUGGGUUUGUUUGAUGGAGUUGAUGAAGAUAAUGAUGAAAGUGAUGAAGAAGAGAAGGAAGAGGAGGGGAAGAAGAUGAAGAAAGAUAAAUAAAUUAGGUGAUGGUGAUUCACUAUUAAUUUCAAUAGACCUUCAAGAUCAAACGGUUUUAUUUUUGACAAAAAAAUCAAAUGGUUAGAAUUAGAAAGAUUUAUGAGGUCUACGGUGGACCAGUGUAAAGUUGGUUCACCUUAGACAUUUAAAGUUAAUAACUAACGGAGAGGACCAAAAUAGUAAACAGCAGACGAUUUAUGGGAUCAAAUUGAGAUACUUUAUAGUUAGAGGACCAAAGUGAAAACCAAAAAUAAGUUAAGGGACCAAAUUAUAUAUUAAGCCUAAAAGUUAUUAUCUCUUUCUUCUCCUUUCUCUCUCUCUCUCCCUCCCCUCCCUAUUAUCUCAUUUCUCUCUUCGUUUCUCUAUCUCUCCAUUAUCUCUCAUCCUCCCUCUC